rnacentral:rRNA from 1 species
UACGGGGGGAGCAAGCGUUGUUCGGAUUUACUGGGCGUAAAGGGCGCGUAGGCGGCGCAACAAGUCACUUGUGAAAUCUCCGGGCUUAACCCGGAGCGGUCAAGUGAUACUGUCGUGCUAGAGUCCGGAAGAGGCGAGUGGAAUUCCCGGUGUAGUGGUGAAAUGCGUAGAUAUCGGGGAGGAACACCGGUGGCGAAGGCGGCGACCUGGGUCGACACUGACGCUGAGGCGCGAAAGCGUGGGGAGCAAACAGG